GACGUAGGGCGCGAGCGUUGUCCGGAUUUAUUGGGCGUAAAGAGCUCGUAGGCGGCUUGUCGCGUCGACUGUGAAAACCCGCGGCUCAACCGCGGGCCUGCAGCCGAUACGGGCAGGCUAGAGUUCGGUAGGGGAGACUGGAAUUCCUGGUGUAGCGGUGAAAUGCGCAGAUAUCGGGAGGAACACCAAUGGCGAAAGCAGGUAACUGGACUAUUACUGACACUCAACUGCGAAAGCUAGGGGAGCAAACAGG
rnacentral:rRNA from 1 species